rnacentral:sRNA from 1 species
GCUGGGUGCAGUGGCACAUGCCUGUAAUCCCAGCGGCUUGGGAGGCUGAGGCAGGAGGAUUGCGAAUUCAAAGCCAGCCUUAGCAAUGGGGAGGCGCUAAGCAGCUCAGUGAGACCCUGUCUCUA